ACCAACACGAGGCUGGUCACUAUAAAUCGGGGAGGGGUCAUUCGAUUCUCUCCGGGUUUUUCCUUCCUCUGGUCAUUGUUCACUUAACUUCGGGGAAAAGUGUUGCAUCCUAUAACAUGACACCUGCCGGAAUUCCUCUCAUCUAUUCUUGAUUAAAAGCAUGGCGACCGUGGUCAUCAGGACGAGGCCCUGAUCAUCGGCAAGCUAGGUGGAGAGAAAAGCCAGUUACCUGGGAAUGAUCUGGAAACCACAGAUGGCUGGAGGCCACGGCCCUCGACCGUCUCAUCCUUUCCUGACCAGGGGCCACUGGGAAUGGACCAGUGCCCACUCAAGCCAGUAGCCUAGAAGAGAAUGUAACAUCUCUCUACUCUGACUCAGAGAUAAGGAUCCCAGUCCAUGGCUGCAGAAACAAAGUCAGUCGCCAUCGAUCAGUCCAGAUAUCUAUUACCGUAUUCAGCCAUUUGGGUUCAAAUAAAGCCUUGUUUGGAUCAUAGUGA